rnacentral:rRNA from 1 species
CCUACGGGUAGCAGCAGUAGGGAAUCUUCCACAAUGGGCGAAAGCCUGAUGGAGCAACGCCGCGUGGGUGAAGAAGGUCUUCGGAUCGUAAAACCCUGUUGUUAGAGAAGAAAGUGCGUGAGAGUAACUGUUCACGUUUCGACGGUAUCUAACCAGAAAGCCACGGCUAACUACGUGCCAGCAGCCGCGGUAAUACGUAGGUGGCAAGCGUUAUCCGGAUUUAUUGGGCGUAAAGGGAACGCAGGCGGUCUUUUAAGUCUGAUGUGAAAGCCGUCGGCUUAACCGGAGUAGUGCAUUGGAAACUGGGAGACGUGAGUGCAGAAGAGGAGAGUGGAAUGCGAGGUGUAGCGGGGAAAUGCGUAGAUAUAUGGAAGAACACCAGUGGAGAAAGCGGCUCUCUGGUCUGUAACUGACGCUGAGGUUCGAAAGCGUGGGUAGCAAACAGGAUUAGAUACCCGUGUAGUC